rnacentral:rRNA from 1 species
AUGAACGCUGGCGGCGUGCCUAAUCCAUGCCAGUCGAGCGAACAGACGAGGAGCUUGCUCCUCUGACGUUAGCGGCGGACGGGUGAGUAACACGUGGAUAACCUACCUAUAAGACUGGGAUAACUUCGGGAAACCGGAGCUAAUACCGGAUAAUAUAUUGAACCGCAUGGUUCAAUAGUGAAAGACGGUUUUGCUGUCACUUAUAGAUGGAUCCGCGCCGCAUUAGCUAGUUGGUAAGGUAACGGCUUACCAAGGCGACGAUGCGUAGCCGACCUGAGAGGGUGAUCGGCCACACUGGAACUGAGACACGGUCCAGACUCCUACGGGAGGCAGCAGUAGGGAAUCUUCCGCAAUGGGCGAAAGCCUGACGGAGCAACGCCGCGUGAGUGAUGAAGGUCUUCGGAUCGUAAAACUCUGUUAUUAGGUAAGAACAAAUGUGUAAGUAACUAUGCACGUCUUGACGGUACCUAAUCAGAAAGCCACGGCUAACUACGUG